ACGCUCGACACCUACGGAGGCAGCAGUGGGGAAUAUUGCACAAUGGGGGAAACCCUGAUGCAGCGACGCCGCGUGGAGGAAGAAGGUCUUCGGAUUGUAAACUCCUGUUGUUGGGGAAAAAGAGGAUGGUACCCAACAAGGAAGUGACGGCUAACUGCGUGCUAGCAGCCGCGGUAAUCUGAGCGGGCUGGCAAGGC
rnacentral:rRNA from 1 species